AUGCAAUUAUCUAUUUGGAGGUAGGGCUGAAACGAUUAUUUGAAUAACUCGAUUAAAUCGAGUCAAAAAAUUCAUCGAUGCAGUUUCCUUGCAUCGAGUAAUCGUUACAUCACAUGAUCACGGAGCGGGAGUAAAAUUAAGCGUCUCA